rnacentral:rRNA from 1 species
UACAGAGGGUGCAAGCGUUAAUCGGAAUUACUGGGCGUAAAGCGUGCGUAGUCGGUUAUCUAAGUCGGAUGUGAAAUCCCCCGGGCUCAACCUGGGAAUUGCAUUCGAUACUGGAUAGCUAGAGUUCGGCAGAGGGAAGUGGAAUUUCGGGUGUAGCGGUGAAAUGCGUAGAUAUCCGAAGGAACAUCAGUGGCGAAAGCGACUUCCUGGACCAGAACUGACGAUCAGGCACGAAAGCGUGGGGAGCAAACAGG